rnacentral:rRNA from 1 species
UACGUAGGUGGCAAGCGUUGUUCGGAAUUAUUGGGCGUAAAGAGCGUGUAGGCGGUCCGGUAAGUCAGCUGUGAAAACCUAAGGCUCAACCUUGGGCUUGCAGUGGGUACGGGCAGACUAGAGUGCGGUAGGGGGUGACUGGAAUUCCUGGUGUAGCGGUGGAAUGCGCAGAUAUCAGGAGGAACACCGGUGGCGAAGGCGGGUCUCUGGACAGUUCCUGACACUGAGGCACGAAGGCCAGGGGAGCAAACGGG